UACGGAAGGCAGCAGUGGGGAAUAUUGCACAAUGGGCGCAAGCCUGAUGCAGCCAUGCCGCGUGUAUGAAGAAGGCCUUCGGGUUGUAAAGUACUUUCAGUCGUGAGGAAGGUGUUAAGGUUAAUAACCUUAGCAAUUGACGUUAGCGACAGAAGAAGCACCGGCUAACUCCGUGCCAGCAGCCGCGGUAAUACGGAGGGUGCGAGCGUUAAUCGGAAUUACUGGGCGUAAAGGGCACGCAGGCGGUUAAUUAAGUUGGAUGUGAAAUCCCCGGGCUUAACCUGGGAAUGGCAUUCAAGACUGGUUAGCUAGAGUCUUGUAGAGGGGGUAGAAUUCCGAUGUGUAGCGGUGAAAUGCGUAGAGAUGUGGAGGAAUACCGGUGGCGAAGGCGGCCCCUGGGACAAAGACUGACGCUCAUGUGCGAAAGCGUGGGGAGCAAACG
rnacentral:rRNA from 1 species